rnacentral:lncRNA from 1 species
ACUUCAUGCCCUAUCACUCUUAACUUUCCCUUCCUUCGGCCGGUAAACUUGGGGCUGGGUUUACUGGUCACAGAGACCAACUUCCCUCAAAAAAGCAAAAUUCAGGAAAGCUCUGGAGGGAGAGGGGCUGGUAAUAGCCAAGGGUUGAUUACAUACAUAAGCCAAAUUCUUAAUGAUUAUGUAAUUAAUACAUUAUAACAAUAAAUACAUAAAUAUGCUAGUACUUACUAUGUGCUAAGCAUUCUGCUCGGCACUUUCAUGCACCCCUUGGGUAGUAAGAGCAUCCAAAGAUAUUCUAGUUCCUCCCCUGCCUCCAUUCACUGCCAAGAAGGCAGCAGCCUGCCCCCCUUCUCCCACCAUCUCACUACUGAUGCAGGGGCCAUCCCCUGGACCCUAGGCAUGGCUUUGCUCCUCAGAAUGACAGGACCAAAAGCCUUUCAUAAAGACUCCAGUGAGGUGACUGAUGUCUGGCUUUGUCAAUUACAAGUGAAUAAUUAAUACUUGCCAGUAAAGAAAUAGACUCAUUGUUACGGUGGCCACAUGGAGGCUACAAAAGGCCAUUUUGUGACGCUUUUGGUGGACCCCUGGGGCCAACAGUGGUCCAAAGAAGCUGCGUUGAGAGUGUAGUCCAAUCUUUAAACGUAGGGACUGGGACCCGUACUGUUUUCCAGGAGCGCUUUUCCCGUUAAUUAGCUUGUAGCCGAUUCAUCAUCUCAUUCAGCUUUCUGGUUGAUGACAGCAGCAGAGGCCACUGAACAUCAGAGAGGGCAUGAUUUAUCAGAGGGGUCAUGUAGUGUUCUACCAGGGCCUUUUACCGGUUUUUGAAUUCAUGUCUACUUCCUUCUCUGGGCCAGCAUCUGAUUUGAGUAAAACUCUCCAACCCCACUGGGUUGUACAUCCGACUCUUGGCCUAAUGCCUAAAGCAAGUUUUUCCUUUUUCAUUUUCCAGCAGGGACUGAACAAGGCAGCCUUGGGUGCCUACAGAACCGGUCAGAACUGGCCAGGAAAUAUAAUAAAGAAGCUUAGUGAGCAGAGAGCUAAUGCCCCCAGCCAGAGGCUCAGUGCGCACAACUAGCUAGAGGCACUGACUUUGUAAGCAACAACACUAUCUUCUUGAGGUCUAAUAAUUGCCUUGGCAAAGGGCAGCCAAUGCCAACGAGGAACCCUGUGUACACAAGUUUCUCAUCCCGAAAGUGGACACUGGGUGCUCAAAAAAUGCCUUCUGGUGACAGUAACACCUGACCAGUCAAACAAACAUGCACGCAUGCACAUGCAUGCAUACACACUCUUACAGCAUUCCUGCCUGCAGGGCCAAAGCUGCCCUUGCCAAAUACAGAGCUGACAGCUGCUAGAUAUUGUCAUUUCAGGGACCCGUUCCCAAAAGAACUACCCAGCUCCCCACCUCCACUUCCAGCCCACUGUUUGAAAUUCUACCAUUAGUGAUAGCAAAUAUUUCUACAGUGUUUCCCAUUAAAGCUUUGUUUCCCAUUAAAAUGCCUCCAUCCUCUGUUUCUUUUCCGGUCAAAUGACUUGUAAAGCACCUGCUCUGCAUCAAAUGGGAACUUCUUUUGUAUUUAGCUCUUCAAGAUAAACACAAUCAUUGGCUCCUUUCUUGAAAACCAUUUCUGACACUGGAGACUGGGGGAAGGGCAGGGCACUGUAUGGAAGUGGAGGUGGGAGGCCACCAGGAGGGCCACAGAGAGAGGGUCUAAUGGUGGAGAAAGCAACCAUCAAGGCCUUCACAGGCCUGCCCAAAGAUAUGGACCUGAUUUUUGCCCUCUAAGAUCUCAGGGACCCAGGUUGCUGGCACAGCCUGUAUCCAAGAGUAAGGUGAGACCCACUGCCCUAACUGGGACACAGACAGGAGGCAGGAAAUGGGAACACAGGAACCGACAGUCUCCUGAUUUGCCCCUCCUGCCAGCAGGCCUGCCUCCGUCUCCCUGCCCAUGCUGAGGGCACAGGCACCCAGGAACUAGCAGAAAAAGAUCCUUGUCCCAUUCUUGGCCUAGCUGGAAGGACAGCUGAUGGCUCAUCAGCCCUGGUGAGUGUUUCCACUGUGCUGGGGAAAGUAGGCAAGCAAAGGUCAAAAUCAGAUUCCCUGUGCUGGGGAGGCACCUGGGCUGUCAGUGUCCUUUCCAGCCGGGUUCUGGAUAUAGAGGGCCAUACUUAUGUGGAACAUGCUACCUGCCCCCAUCCCCAAGCAGAGAGCACCUCCUCCUCUUCUUUUGCACAUAGGUGGGCUGUUCUUUGGGGUGAGGGGUAGGGCUGACCUGAAAAGUAGACGCCACAACAGACAGGCAAGCAUCUUCCUGGUUCUUCAGAGCUCAAGAAAAAAACCACCUUUUCCCCCAGGAGUCAGCCCACUCAUCCCCUUCCCCCACUUCCACCGUGCCCGCAGCCAGCUUGGUGAGCGAUGCUAGUGUAGGCCAGAAAGCUUCCAAGCGGGUCAGACCUGCUCCUCUCUCAUCAAAGCCCUCCGCCCCCAAACAUCGACGCUGCGCCCCUCGCCCCACCCAUCACACGUUCUGUGUGCCCGAGGCGGCUGCCAGGCGGGCCCAGGCGGCUCUCGCUGGCCCUGGGGGAGGUGACGGUGGUCACGGCGGCAGAGGCAGGGGCCAGCGCUCUGCAGUACCUGGACUCGAGGAUGUCGCCGCUGCCGGGCUCGCGGCCGCUGCAGGUGUCUCCGGUCCCUGAGAUUAGCACCGCCUCCUCCCGGGCUGGCGGCUCCGGCCCAGGCCGCGCACCUGCUGCUGCGGCUCCCCCGCCGCCGCGCCGGAGCUCCGCGAUGUGCCCGCGCCUCCCGGGCAGAGGGUCCGUGCCGCGGGACGCACGGGGCCUGCCUCAACUUCAUUCUGGAAGAAUUGCCUAACGGACAAAUAGGUGGCAGGAAGCACUGAGAGGACAGUUAAGCUUAUCAUCAGGACUGCCCUUACCUAUAAAGCUGAAAACCCCCAAGCCUUGAAGGAAAAUGUUAAACACCAGCUGCCAGUCUUUUGGUUGUACAACAAGAAGGCCUGGACAACGAGAACUCUUUCUGGAUCAGUUCCAUUGAUGUUUUGUCCCUGAAGUCGGGAAGUACCUUGCCACUAAAGGUCUGCCUUUCAAGGUUCUUUUGAUAUUGAAGGAUGCCCCUCGGUUAUCUAGAACCCCAUGAGUUCAACACUGAAGGCAUCAAAGUGGUCUACUUGCCCCCAAACACAUCUCUAAUCCAGCCUCUAGAUAAGGGGGUCAUAAGGACCUUUAAUGCCCAUUAUAUAUGGUACUCUUUGGAAAAGAUUGUCAAUGCUAUGAAAGAGAACCCUGAUAGAACAUCAAGAAAGUCUGGAAGGAUUACACUGUUGAAGAUGCCACAUUGUUACAGGAAAAGCUAUUAAAGUCAUCAAUCUCAAAACAACAAGUUUCUGCUGGAGAAAACUGUGUUCAGAUGUUGUGCAUAACUUCACAGGAUUUACAGCAGAGUCAAUCAAGAAAAUCAUGAAAGAGAUUGAGCAUAUGGCAAAAA